rnacentral:rRNA from 1 species
AGUGAACGCUGGCGGUAGGCCUAACACAUGCAAGUCGAACGGCAGCACAGUAAGAGCUUGCUCUUACGGGUGGCGAGUGGCGGACGGGUGAGGAAUACAUCGGAAUCUACUUUUUCGUGGGGGAUAACGUAGGGAAACUUACGCUAAUACCGCAUACGACCUACGGGUGAAAGCAGGGGAUCUUCGGACCUUGCGCGAUUGAAUGAGCCGAUGUCGGAUUAGCUAGUUGGCGGGGUAAAGGCCCGCCAAGGCGACGAUCCGUAGCUGGUCUGAGAGGAUGAUCAGCCACACUGGAACUGAGACACGGUCCAGACUCCUACGGGAGGCAGCAGUGGGGAAUAUUGGACAAAGGGCGCAAGCCUGAUCCAGCCAUACCGCGUGGGUGAAGAAGGCCUUCGGGUUGUAAAGCCCUUUUGUUGGGAAAGAAAGGCAGCAGGUUAAUACCCCGCUGUUCUGACGGUACCCAAAGAAUAAGCACCGGCUAACUUCGUG